AUUAUCAUCAUCAUCAUGGGUGAAGAUCUAAGCUUCAAAGAAGCUUUAUCAUUGUUGGCAUUUUUCAGGUUCGGUGUGAAGUCUGCAAAUAACUUUAAAGAAGAAUCAUGGAGGAAUUGGAAGCCCCGCCACUCAACUCACUAUGUGUCGCAAAUUCUUCUCAAGCUGCUGUAAGACCCUAAUUUUGACCAUAAGAUCCCUCAUGCUAUCUCAUCAUAUGCAUUGACUUUGGAAUCACACCUUGACAUUCU
rnacentral:lncRNA from 1 species